rnacentral:rRNA from 1 species
AGAGUUUGAUCCUGGCUCAGAACGUACGCUGGCGGCACGCCUAACACAUGCAAGUCGAACGAAGUAGCAACACUUAGUGGCAGACGGGUGAGUAACAUGUAGGUAUCUGCCCUUUGGCCUGGAAUAACACGAGGAGACUUGUGCUAAUACCGGAUAAGUCUUUACGGGGAAAGCUUUAUGCACCAUUGGAUGAGCCUGCACUUGAUUAGUUUGUUGGUAGGGUAAUGGCCUACCAAGACUGUGAUCAAUAGCUGAUUUGAGAGGAUGAUCAGCCACAUUGGGACUGAGACACGGCCCAAACUCCUACGGGAGGCAGCAGUGGGGAAUCUUGCACAAUGGAGGAAACUCUGAUGCAGCGAUGCCGCGUGAGUGAAGAAGGCCCUUGGGUUGUAAAGCUCUUUCGUCGGGGAAGAAAAUGACUGUACCCGAAUAAGAAGGUCCGGCUAACUUCGUGCCAGCAGCCGCGGUAAUACGAAGGGACCUAGCGUAGUUCGGAAUUACUGGGCUUAAAGAGUUCGUAGGUGGUUGAAAAAGUUGGUGGUGAAAUCCCAGAGCUUAACUCUGGAACUGCCAUCAAAACUUUUCAGCUAGAGUUUGAUAGAGGAAAGCAGAAUUUCUAGUGUAGAGGUGAAAUUCGUAGAUAUUAGAAAGAAUACCAAUUGCGAAGGCAGCUUUCUGGAUCAUUACUGACACUGAGGAACGAAAGCAUGGGUAGCGAAGAGGAUUAGAUACCCUCGUAGUCCAUGCCGUAAACGAUGUGUGUUAGACGUUGGAAAUUUAUUUUCAGUGUCGCAGCGAAAGCGAUAAACACACCGCCUGGGGAGUACGACCGCAAGGUUAAAACUCAAAUGAAUUGACGGGGACCCGCACAAGUAGUGGAGCAUGUGGUUUAAUUCGAAGAUACGCGCAGAACCUUACCAACACUUGACAUGUUCGUCGCGACUCUAAGAGAUUAGAGUUUUCGGUUCGGCCGGACGAAACACAGGUGCUGCAUGGCUGUCGUCAGCUCGUGUCGUGAGAUGUUGGGUUAAGUCCCGCAACGAGCGCAACCCUCACUUUUAGUUGCCAUCAUUAAGUUGGGCACUCUGAAAGAACUGCCAGUGAUAAGCUGGAGGAAGGUGGGGAUGGCGUCAAGUCCUCAUGGCCCUUACGUGUUGGGCUACACACGUGCUACAAUGGCAUCUACAACAGGAAGCAAAACGGCAACGUUAAGCAAAUCCCGAAAAGAUGCCUCAGUUCGGAUUGCACUCUGCAACUCGAGUGCAUGAAGCUGGAAUUACUAGUAAUCGUGGAUCAGCGUGCCACGGUGAAUGCGUUCCCGGGUCUUGUACACACCGCCCGUCACACCAUGGGAGUUGGUUCUACCUUAAGGCAAGGUUUCAAACCCUUGACCACGGUAUAGUCAGCGACUGGGGUGAAGUCGUAACAAGGUAGCCGUAGGGGAACCUGCGGCUGGAUCACCUCCUU